UUGCACUUCGGGAUAAGCUUGGGAAACUGGGUCUAAUACCGGAUAGGACAGCUGUUUAGUGUCAGUUGUGGAAAGUUUUUUCGGUGCAAGAUGAGCUCGCGGCCUAUCAGCUUGUUGGUGGGGUAAUGGCCUAGCCAAGGCGUCGACGGGUAGCCGGCCUGAGAGGGUGUACGGCCACAUUGGGACUGAGAUACGGCCCAGACUCCUACGGGAGGCAGCAGUGGGGAAUCAUUGCACAAUGGGCGGAAGCCUGAUGCAGCGACGCCGCGUGGGGGAUGAAGGCCUUCGGGUUGUAAACUCCCUUUCGACAGGGACGAAGCGUAAGUGACGGUACCUGUAUAAGAAGCACCGGCUAACUACGUGCCAGGCAGCCGCGGUCAAUACGUACGGUGCGAGCGUUGUCCGGAAUUACUUGGGCCGUAAAGGAGCUCGUAAGGUUGGUAAGCAGCGUCGACUGGGAAAAUCCGGGGCUUAACUCCGGGCGUCAGGCGAUACGGGCUGACUUGAGUGCUGUAGGGGAGACUGGAAUUCCUGGUGUAACGGUGAAAUGCCCAGAUAUCAGGAGGAACACCGAUGGCGAAGGCAGGUCUCUGGGCAGUAACUGACGCUGAGGAGCGAAAGCUAUGGGUACGAACUAGGAUUAGAUACCUCUGGUAGUCCUAAUGCCUGUAAACUGGCUGGGCGCUAGGUGUAGGGGGCUUCCUACGUCUUCUGUGCUCGUAGCUAACUGCUAUCUAAGCUGCCCUCUGCUCUGGGGAGUACUGG
rnacentral:rRNA from 1 species